GAUGAACGCUGGCGGCGUGCUUAACACAUGCAAGUCGAACGGGAUCCAAGGAGCGUUUUUUGUUUUUUGGUGAGAGUGGCGAACGGGUGAGUAACACGUGAGUAACCUGUCCUUUUCUUUGGGAUAAGCUCCUGAAAGGGUGUUUAAUACCUUAUGUUCUGUCUGCCUCGCAUGGGGUGGGUGGGAAAGAUUUUUUCGGUGAAGGGUGGGCUCGCGGUCUAUCAGCUUGUUGGUGGGGUGAUGGCUUACCAAGGCUUUGACGGGUAGCCGGCCUGAGAGGGUGGUCGGUCACAUUGGGACUGAGAUACGGCCCAGACUCCUGCGGGAGGCAGCAGUGGGGGAUAUUGCACAAGGGGCGCAAGCCUGAUGCAGCGACGCCGCGUGGGGGAUGAAGGCCUUCGGGUUGUAAACUUCUUGUGCUCUGAACAAGGCGCAUCUUUGGGGUGUGUUGAGUGUAGGGGUUGAUUAGCGCCGGCUAACUACGUG
rnacentral:rRNA from 1 species